rnacentral:rRNA from 1 species
UUGGAGGGCAAGUCUGGUGCCAGCAGCCGCGGUAAUUCCAGCUCCAAUAGCGUAUAUUAAAGUUGUUGCAGUUAAAAAGCUCGUAGUUGAAUUUCGGGGUUAGUAGGUUGGUCAUGCCUCCGGUAUGUACUGGCUUCACUGAUUCCUCCUUCCUGAUGAGCCGUAAUGCCAUUAAUUUGGUGUUGCGAGGAAUCUGGACUGUUACUUUGAAAAAAUUAGAGUGUUUAAAGCAGGCUACGACUGUAGUACUAUAUACGAUAGUAGUAAUACGAAAUAGGACGUUUGAUUCUAUUUUGUUGGUUUCUAGGAUCGACGUAAUGAUUAAUAGGGAUAGUUGGGGGCAUUAGUAUUCAAUUGUCAGAGGUGAAAUUCUUGGAUUUAUUGAAGACUAACUACUGCGAAAGCAUUUGCCAAGGAUGUUUUCAUUAAUCAAGAACGAAAGUUAGGGGAUCGAAGACGAUCAGAUACCGUCGUAGUCUUAACCAUAAACUAUGCCGACUAGGGAUCGGAUGAUGUUAAUUUUUAAUGACUCAUUCGGC